AUGGUUCGUGCUUCUACAAAGGUAUUAUCUCUCUACCUUCCCAUAGCCCAUGACCACCGAAUCCAGCUACCUCGCCUUGUUCUUCACUACAAUCUCUCCAAAUCAUCCGCUCCCAUGUCUCUCAGCUGCUGCUGGUUCUUGGUCUUCGUCGGGGUGUGGUGGCUGCCACUGAUGCUCCUGGGGUGGCCGAGGAGCAGCAGGGUGGAGACUGCUCGGCCCAGAUGUGCGGCAACGUCAGCAUCUUCGAUCCCUUCAGGCUCACUGGCUUGCAGACCGGAAGAUCAUGCGCUUCUUCUCCCCGGGAUUUUGAAGUAG
rnacentral:rRNA from 1 species